rnacentral:rRNA from 1 species
UACGUAGGUGGCAAGCGUUGUCCGGAUUUAUUGGGUUUAAAGGGUGCGUAGGCGGCCUUGUAAGUUAGUGCUGAAAUAUCCCGGCUUAACCGGGAGGGUGGCAUUGAUACUGCAGGGCUUGAGUAAAGUUGAGGUUGGCGGAAUUGACGGUGUAGCGGUGAAAUGCUUAGAUAUCGUCAAGAACACCUAUUGCGUAGGCAGCUAACUAAGCUUUAACUGACGCUGAGGCACGAAAGUGUGGGGAUCAAACAGG